rnacentral:rRNA from 1 species
ACUGCUCAGUAACACGUGGAUAACCUGCCCUAUGGUGGAGAAUAACCCCGGGAAACUGGGGAUAAUACUCCAUAGAUUAGAGAUACUGGAAUGUUCUUUAAUCGAAAGUUGAGGCGCCAUAGGAUGGAUCUGCGGUCGAUUAGGUUGUUGUUGGGGUAACGGCCCAACAAGCCUGUAAUCGAUACGGGUUGUGGGAGCAAGAGCCCGGAGAUGGAAUCUGAGACACGAUUCCAGGCCCUACGGGGCGCAGCAGGCGCGAAAACUUUACAAUGCAGGAAACUGUGAUAAGGGAACCCCGAGUGCCCGUAUACGCGGGCUGUCCAGGUGUCUAAAAAGCAUCUGAAGAAAGGGCCGGGCAAGACCGGUGCCAGCCGCCGCGGUAAUACCGGCGGCUCGAGUGGUGGCCACUAUUAUUGGGCUUAAAGCGUCCGUAGCUGGACUCUUAAGUCUCUUGGGAAAUCCGCCGGCUUAACCGACGGGCGUCUAAGAGAUACUGAGAGUCUAGGGACCGGGAGAGGUGAGAGGUACUCCGGGGGUAGGAGUGAAAUCCUGUAAUCCCUGGGGGACCACCGAUGGCGAAGGCAUCUCACCAGAACGGCUCCGACAGUGAGGGACGAAAGCUGGGGGAGCGAACCGGAUUAGAUACCCGGGUAGUCCCAGCCGUAAACUAUGCGCGUUAGGUGUACUGGUGACCACGAGUCACUGGGGUGCCGAAGGGAAACCGUGAAACGUGCCGCCUGGGAAGUACGGCCGCAAGGCUGAAACUUAAAGGAAUUGGCGGGGGAGCAC